UGGCGGACGGGUGAGUAAUGUCUGGGAAACUGCCCGAUGGAGGGGGAUAACUACUGGAAACGGUAGCUAAUACCGUAUAACGUCGCAAGACCAAAGAGGGGGACCUUCGGGCCUCUUGCCAUCGGAUGUGCCCAGAUGGGAUUAGCUAGUAGGUGGGGUAACGGCUCACCUAGGCGACGAUCCCUAGCUGGUCUGAGAGGAUGAUCAGCCACACUGGAACUGAGACACGGUCCAG
rnacentral:rRNA from 1 species